CCCGUUCUCCCCCGAGGAUUUGGCGUUGGCUUGCGAGGACUCAAAUUGAACAGAAAAGUGCCAAAAACAAGAUUCACCUUCAAAAUCCUUUCAUCAUCAUCAACAACUGAAGUUCCUUCUUCAGACCCACACCCAGGUUUUGAAGCAACGGACAACGCUUCUGUGCCAGCAGUUCGAGUUUUUAAGAGGGAAAAGAGGGUUAAAAAGACGGUGGAUGUUGUACAAGAGAUUCCCAAAGCAGAAAAUAAGGGCCUUAAGCCGUGUGGCCUACCUACCUGACAUAGAGGAAUUUGCAUACAAGAAGGUGGAUGGUCCUCUGUCUGGUAAGAUUUCCAUUGCAAUGCUAUGUUCCUAUGAGUAUGGCAUUUGAAAGUUUUUCCAGAAAAAGUUUAUUACAUUGACAACGUCUACGCAUGGAGUUAUGGCAUAUAUAUUAGGGAAUAAUUUCAGGAUGCUGUACGGGUUCACCAACCUGGGCAACGUGUAGAUUGCUAUCAUGCUGUAUUCAUAUUUCAGUCAUGAGCACAUAUGGACUCCCAUCCGAAAAACACAGACAAGCACAUAGAUGCACAAAAACAUGGGCAGUGGGAAGUCAAAGUCCACAUCUGAAGAGAUAAAUGUGGGAACUGGUAUUGCUUCCCCAGUUGGAAUAGGAGGUAAAUGGUGAAAAAUUGUGCAUGAGUAAUGCUAAUUGAAAUUGCAAGAGAAGAAGAGAGUUUGCCAAAGGUGUUUGUUGACUUUAAAGAGAACUUAUAACUGCAUGCCGAUUUGCUCUACCUUGUAAACCUUUUCCUCUUAUUAUCAAAGUUACCAAAGUUUGCAGUUGGUCUUUGCAUCUUAUUAUCAUGAUUUAAAUGUAGCCUAUUUAUAGACUUCUGCCUCUAGGAUGUGUUUGGAUUGUUAAGUAGAUUGUCUGUUGUUAAUGUAGAUGUCCAUAUAGAUUAUAGAAUGAUUAAUAAAUUUGAUGGACAAGACUUUCUCCUAGUGCAUUUCUUUUGAGUGUAUAAACUUCUGAAUUGCAGAUGCGUUUGCUAUUGAUGUGUUUGAAGUGAUACAGGCAAUGUACCUGCUAACUGGGAAAAAGUGCUUGAAGGAAUCUGUAGAAUAAGUCUGCAGAAGAUGCACCUGUAGACACUAUGGGAUGUGAGAAAGCUGGCAGUGUUCUUCUCCUAAGAAUGCGUGGAUAUAGAGAUUUAGUUGGUAUUUUGACUGUUCAUUUAUAACUUGAACAAAUCACAAGCUGAAGAGAAUGAAGUUGGGUGGAAUGUUUUAUUUGGAGUGACGUCUUGCUUAUUGUGGAAAUCGAGAACCAUACGGAUCUUUGAGAGCAAAACUGUAGUUAUUGAAGGGAGAUCGUCUUCAAUAUAUAGCAUGAUCUUAUCAAUCAAUUUUCAACAAGACCCCGAGAGGAAAUUCUAGUUAGCUGGACAGAGUCUUCCUCCGGUUGGAUGGCUCUCAACUCUGAUGGUGCUCAUCGAAAAACAACUGAGCAGGUAGCGAUCCCAGGAGUCUUGCGAGAUUCGAAUGGUCAGUGGAGAGGAGGCUAUGCGAUGAAACUCUGGAAGUGCACUACAUACCGAGCUGAACUUUGAGGUGUUUAUCAAGGACUCAAAUACACAUGGGAACAAGGAUUCAGGAAUAUUGAUAUUCAGGUAGAUAGCAAGUUAGUGGUUGGUACGAUAACUUCCCAACUUAAUCACCCUUGUUCAAAUUCAGAUUUAAUUCAAACCAUAAAGAAGUUUAAAGAUGGCUAAUAUGGUAUUAUCCAUUGAUGAGAAUUUUUAAUCUUUUUUCUAAUCCACCUGGUAGAGUUAGAAGCUUACUAUUAAAUGAUGUAAUUGGAGUUUGUUUUCCUCGAUUAAUCAGGCAAUAAAUUUUACUUUUUUAACAAAAAAUUUAAAGAACUAAUUUGAGGCUUGAAGCAGAAAUCGUCUACCCUAAAUGUUUGUCUUUUUCUUAUUCUGUUUAUAUUAUCAUAUCAU